UGGGUGCAAGCUCAAUGGUAGAGCACUUGUCUUGCAUGCAUGAGGCCCUGGGUUCAAUCACCAGCACCCUA
rnacentral:tRNA from 1 species